rnacentral:misc_RNA from 1 species
GAACGCACAUUGCGCCCCUUGGCAUUCCGAAGGGCAUGCCUGUUCGAGCGUCAUGAUCAAAUCUCAAGCCUUGCUUGGUAUUGGGUUUUCGUCUCUCUCGUCUUUUGUACGGGUAUUGACGUGCCUGAAAAUCAAUGACAGUGCCUUUUAGACUCAAGCGUAGCAGACUGACACGCCUUAGAGAACUUUUGUAGGCCCUGUCAAUAAAAUAAUAAGUUGGACCUCGGAUCAGGUAGGGAUACCCGCUGAACUUAAG